GGCCGCAUCCGUGUUCAUCCUCAACCUUUACAUAUGUUAUGUAUCAUCAUAAAAUACAACUUACAUUUCAAUAUUAAGGAUGAACACGAAUGCGGCCACUUUCGUUUUACACGAAAACCGUCUAAAAUUUAACUAAAAUGCUAGAAUUAUGAGGAUUUCAGUAAUUUAGCAUGACUUAAUGGUGCUAGUUACCGAUAUAUGUGCAUUGCAUUGUCAAAAACAGCCCAUAUUUAUGUAGUAGAAGCAUUCUACUGUCCAAUAAAUAACUAAAGGUUUACAUUUUAACAAUUUUGUAAAACUGCUAUAUUUUGG
rnacentral:lncRNA from 1 species